rnacentral:lncRNA from 1 species
CUGUGGCGGGCGUGCACGUGCUAUCAUAUGUGACUGUGCGGCGGCAGGGGUGAGGAAGGGAGACGUGAGGGGCGGCCAGGUGGUGGUGGACAGUGACCGGCGCCACAGUGACAAGCCUACACGAACAUAGUGACAAUAGCCAUGAUAACAACGAAAAGAACAGCGUGUGUGUAGCCUCGGUAAACACGGACACAAGAUGGGUUAGGAUGUGUGUGUGUGUGGCUGGGGGUGAGUGGGUACCUACUGCUGGUGACGGCAGCAGCCAAGACCAGCCGCAUUCUUCACCAGCAGCAAACGCUCAGGCGUGUAGAUGGGAGCAGGAGAAGAAAGAACAAAGGAAGAGGACGAAGAAGAAAG